GCGCAUUUAUGCUUGAUGGUGUUUUAGGCCCCCAGAGGCAACUUCCAGGCAGCACUGCGACUGUUGACUUCAAAGCACCUAACCCUAACCACUGCUUAAUCCUAACCAUUACCUAAUU